CAAUUCUUAUAGAUAGGUUUUGUCUUUUACUUAGAAGUAUGCUAUAUUUUAUUCCAUAGAUAUUUUUGAUUCUUACAAAAUCUUCUGGUCUUUCGAUAUUUUUUCUUUUAGCUUUUAAGGUUUUCCUUUUGAAAUCAUUAAUUCUGCUCUUCUUUUCGUUAGAAGAAUCUUCUUUUGGCUUCACAGAUACUCUUUAAUAAAGCUAUGAUCACUUCUUUUUUCGAUUCUUCAGAAGAAAAGGAACCAAUGCUCUUCUUUAAAAAGAUAUUUUAUUUUCUCUCUCUUCAAUUCUCAUCCCUUUUUGACAUAUCUUGACAUAAACCAAACCCCAAGCAUAGUUUGAAACAUCCUUUAUGAUUCUCAGGAGUAAUUCUUCUGCAAACUUUCUUCUCUUCUCCAAGAUAAGCCCACCCUCUUUGAUAGCUUACUUCUUUCUAACGCUUUUGAUAUGGAAUCUCUUCAAUUUUUGUGAUUUCAUUCAUGCAAUCGAUGUGCGAUCGCUGCUGAUAAGAAGUAGAGGAGUCGAGAGCGUAAACGCUUACCUGCCGACGACGCCAGAGUCGCUGUCUCUGCCUCUGCUGCUGUCGCAGUCGCUGCCUCUGCUGACGCUAUCUCUGAGAGCGGGUCGCGAUGCGGAGUCUUAUCAAGACCAACGACAGGCCCAAGUGGCUUAUUGAUUCGGGCCAGAUUCGGUCGUCAGCAUCGUCAGUUUUUAUUCGUAUUUCUAUUUCUUCUUUUUGCUGCUCCCCGCGAGCGAUGAGCCGCUGCCGCUGACGUCGCUGCCUGCGUUGGCGUCGCAGUCAGCGUUAAAUGGAAACGCUUUGACGCGUUAUAAUAACAAGUGUUUGCCGUCUUUGGACAUUCAGUGUGCGAUAUCCCGGCGGACGGUGCAGACAACGCUUCGCCUCACACGAUCCAAGCAAAAAAUAUCCAGUAAAACUAUAUACAAAAAUCCAGCAUAAAACAUAAAAUCGUAUAUAAAUUUUUUCAAAAAUAAUAAAAACUAUAAAACGCGAAAAAGUUUUUUUUAUUGUGACAAAAGAAAACAAAACAAAAAGUACAAAAUAAAAGUCAUUACAAGUACAAAACAUACCUCAAUCAAUCAGUAGUUUAUUACACGUGCUAAAAGUGCCCAAAACCAAAAGUUUCCUUAAUAAAAAAUAAAAAAUAGAAAAGCGGAAAAAAAAGAUCUAAUAAAAAACGAAGUGAAUUUACAGUCCCCUCAAGAAACGACCAGCUGAUAAACCAUAUCAACGGUCCGGUGACUAAGCUCAACCUCUCAACCUCAACCUCAGCCUCAGCCUCAGUCCUUUUACCUACUUCCUACUACCUCUCACUACAACUA